rnacentral:tRNA from 1 species
GAGGGUGUAGCUCAGUGGUAGAGCGCGUGCUUAGCAUGCACGAGGUCCUGGGUUCAGUCCCCAGCACCUCCA